AAUUCCACUAGGGCUCAGGCUGUGAGAAACAUCCUGCCGGGCAAGUCCUAAGCGUAACCGCCUGAUCUCAGGAAAUUCCUCACUUAGCAACAGCUAACCACACUGUCCACCCCACUUCACAACAAGCCCAGAUCUCUCCCACACGGACCUAAACUUACCCAGUCUGUCAGCAGGGGAGGGCUCUGGCGCUAGUUGGUGUCCGCCUCCGCGGAUGUUUGUUCGAUCAACCUGUGCUGCUGUAGAGCCGCCUCCGUCCGUUUUUUCUCCCGUUCCUGCUCUAACAAUGACAUUAUACCAAAUGUGACUGAUAUACUAAUACAUGCUGCUGUAAUGAGGAGUCCCCAUUUAAGUUACUGUGUCCAAAAUGAGUUUCCAGCAGUCCUCCAUCUUGAUACAUGCUUCAGUAUCACACAGAAAGGGUGGCCAUGGUGUCUCCUCUGCAACCAAGUGAUCGCCAAGAAUUCAGCUACUUCAGAUUAACUUCCCUGGGGUUGGUAACACAAUCCCAUGUUGCCAGCUAUCUUCAGAGUCCCACAGAUACAUGCUCACACAUUCUCCUGCUUGCUGUGUCAAAUUCUUGAGACUCUGUCUACAUUCCAUUCUGUAGAAGGACAGUCCUACAAGGCGAAUAUAAUGAGAGAAGAACAACAUAAGCAACAACAGCCUACAUUACUCUGAGCUCCAACACAGAGCACCAGGAGACGAGAAUCCAUAUUUUUCCUAUUUUUGGUCCUUGGAAUCUAGGCUUCAUUUCCAAGUAUUGAUGCCUAUUUAACAAGCGAAGGCAGCAGCAUGGAUGAAUACAAGUACAUAAUGUAUUACUUAGCACUGACCCAGAAUGAAAAGCUGGCCUAUCUAACAAAGAGAUUGCAGUGCAGAUGGGAAUGCAACACUUCUGAAGCUGGAUCAUAGAAUGCUUGUGGCUUCUUGCCUCCAUUACUUGGAAUUUCCAGUUCUGGGAAACAGAGACACAACUACCAUGUUCUGAGAAGCUCAAGCCACAUGGAAAAAUUACGCACAGGCUCUCCAGGUGACAACUGCAGCUGAGCAGGCAUUUGAAAGCCAGCAUCAGCCAGGUGAGUGAGUUUCCUUGGCCUUCCAGCACAGUUAAAGUUUCACAUGACAGCAGUCAUAGCUAACAACUAAUUACAACUGCUUAAGAGAGACUCCAAGCAAAAUCCACUUAGCUAAGAUCACACUCACAGUCCACCCAGCAGUCCAGGGAAUUAUGAACGAUAGUAACACAUUGCUGUUUUAAGACACUAAGUCUUGAGUAAUUUCUUACGCAACAAUUGAUAACUAAAACAUGGUUUCUAAGUAGAAGAUGCUUAAUAGCCCACUGCAACUUUUCUCUAGCUUCCAAUUCCACACCCCAUCAAAAGAAAAAAAAAGCCAAAACAAACAAAUAAACAAACAAACCUGAACGACACAGACUCACAUGAAAGAGACACUCCACAAUUUAUCUAAAAAUUAAUUACUUCAUUGCAGAUAUGUUGUCAUUUUAUUGAAAUUAACUUUAGUCAAAAUGUGUUGAGUUAUAUGAAAAUGCAUCUGAAUAUUUAAGACAUCAACUGAGCUAUGUUGACAUUGUAGAUAGGUAGGUCUAAG